rnacentral:lncRNA from 1 species
GAAUGAAGUGAAACCAUUACUGUAAACACAGAAGACAUUCAGCAAUGUUCCGAAGCACAGAUUUUUGGCAGCAGUAAGCUCUCUCCAGAUAGCUGCUUGGGAGUUUACACAUUGGUCACAUAUGAAUCCAUUUUGUGAACCUUACUCAAAUCUGCACCUGCCUCCCAGAGACAAACGGAAAGGGGAAGGCAUCCAGGUUUAUCCCCAGCUGGAGAAAAGAUACCUAACAAACAUAGCUGCUCUUGCAGGACCACUGCGUGCAGAAGAUAAAUGUCAUCAAGCUCCCAUCUAUUUAUAUGUGCCAUGAAGUUGGAAGCAAGAAAAUGAGAGCUUCAAAAAGGUAAAAUGUGUGUGUGUGUAUCUAUCUAUCUAUAUAAAAAUAAAAGAAAACAAAAUCUUAUCCA